rnacentral:misc_RNA from 1 species
UAUAGUGAUUGACUUUCCAUAAUAGUUGGCAAUUUUGGCACUAAAAGUGAUGAAAAGUUCUUAUUCUUCAAAUUUGCAUUGACUGUAACAAAAGGACGAUGGAUCAAGGAGCAUUUUUGUUUCUUGAUAUGUGUAUUUGGAUUUAUCAAGCACAAUGUGGAGGUUUUUAUAGACACGGGUCUCAUGGGAGAAAGAUAGAAAACGGAUGGCUUUAGGAGGUACUGGGAGGUAUACUUUAUUUUCUUUGUUCCUCUAUUGGUAUAGUUGAUAGUUGAGUUAGAAAGAGGAGAAAGGGGGAGAACCAAUUUGCUUUUUUGACAAAAAAAAUCCUGUCCAAGGGAGAGCGAAAUGACAGACAGAGAUAGAGAG